GUAAAGCACUUUCAGUAGGGAGGAAGGUAGUGUAGUUAACACCUGCAUUAUUGACGUUACCUACAGAAGAAGCACCGGCUAACUCCGUGCCAGCAGCCGCGGUAAUACGGAGGGUGCGAGCGUUAAGUCGGUAAUUACGUGGGACGUAAAGCGCAUGCAGGCGGCCUGUUAAGUCAGAUGUAGAAACGGCCCGGGGACUUAACCGUCGGAAUUGCUAUUUAGAAACUGGCAGGCUAGAGUCUUGUAGAGGGGGUAGAAUUUCAGGUGUAGCGGUGAAAUGCGUAGAGAUCUGAAGGAAUACCAGUGGCGAAGGCGGCCCCCUGGACAAAGACUGACGCUCAGAUGCGAAAGCGUGGGGAGCAAACAGGAUUAGAUACCCUGGUAG
rnacentral:rRNA from 1 species